rnacentral:misc_RNA from 1 species
GAUGAAGAACGUAGCGAAAUGCGAUAAGUAAUGCGAAUUGCAGUAUUUCCGUGAGUCAUCGAAUCUUUGAACGCACAUUGCGCCCACUGGUAUUCCGGUGGGCAUGCCUGUUCGAGCGUCAUUAUCCUCCCUCAAACCCCGGGUUUGGUGUUGGACCCAAGUUGUGUGAACAACUGGUCUCAAAGACAAUGACGGCGUCCGUGGGACCCUCGGUGCAACGAGCUUUUAGGAGCACGCAUCGAGUUGCAAGGACCUUCCGGGCCGGUCUCCUUUACCAUUUUACAAGGUUGACCUCGGAUCAGGUAGGAAUACCCGCUGAACUUAAGCAUAUCAAUAAGCGGAGGA